UACGGGGGGGGCAAGCGUUGUUCGGAAUUACUGGGCGUAAAGGGCUCGUAGGCGGCCAACUAAGUCAGACGUGAAAUCCCUCGGCUUAUCCGGGGAACUGCAUCUGAUACUGGAUGGCUUGAGUUUGGGAGGGGGAUGCGGAAUUCCAGGUGUAGCGGUGAAAUGCGUAGAUAUCUGGAGGAACACCGGUGGCGAAGGCGGCUCUCUGGCCCGUAACUGACGCUGAGGUGCGAAAGCGUGGGGAGCAAACAGG
rnacentral:rRNA from 1 species